rnacentral:lncRNA from 1 species
UGAGGAGGCUGCCUCGCUCCCUAGUCCGCUGGGCUCGCGAGUCUGGCGGGUCGCAUCUGCUCUCCAGCCCAGCCCGCCAGUCUUAACUCGCCUGUGCUCCCGCCCAGACGCCCUCUCAGGGCCUCCUCAAGGGGGGACAGUGCUCCCAGUUGGGGCGGGGGGGGGGGCUGGGGUGUGGACACUACACCCAUUUCCUUGGGAUCAGCGAGUUCCUCGCCAGUCUCUGGCGUGCACUCAGGCUACAUUGUUACGACUGCCCCCUGUGUGGAGGGCACCUCGCGAAGGUCUGACUCCGGAGUGGCUGCACCCUGCCGGGAUUCGCCUCUGAGACCAAGGCCACGCUCUCCAGUUACCAAGACGCCUCAGAAGCCAGCAGCUGCUUUGCAUCCCAAGAUCAACAUACACGAGUGCCUGGAGACCCCGGGUGAUCAAGGCCAGGGGGAAGUGUUGGAAGCUGACUCGGCUGCACAUGUCAUUGCCUCAUGGACCCAGCGCCUGAAGCUAGUCUGUCACAUAAUCAACCUCGGCUUGUCGGGGCUCUGA